rnacentral:tRNA from 1 species
GGAGAGAUGCCCGAGCUGGCCGAAGGGGCACGAUUGGAAAUCGUGUGUUCCGUAACGCGGGACCGUGGGUUCGAAUCCCACUCUCUCCG